rnacentral:rRNA from 1 species
AAUACCUACGGGACGCAGCAGUGGGGGAUAUUGCACAAUGGGGGAAACCCUGAUGCAGCGACGCCGCGUGAGUGAAGAGGUAUCUCGGUAUGUAAAGCUCUAUCAGCAGGGAAGAAAGAAAUGACGGUACCUGAGUAAGAAGCCCCGGCUAACUACGUGCCAGCAGCCGCGGUAAUACGUAGGGGGCAAGCGUUAUCCGGAAUUACUGGGUGUAAAGGGAGCGUAGACGGUGAAGUAAGUCUGGAGUGAAAGGCGGGGGCCCAACCCCCGGACUGCUCUGGAAACUAUUUGACUGGAGUGCAGGG